UACGAAGGGGGGCUAGCGUUGUUCGGAAUCACUGGGCGUAAAGCGCACGUAGGCGGACUUUUUAAGUCAGGGGGUGAAAAUCCCCGGGGGCUCAACCCCGGAACUGCCUUUGAUACUGGAAGUCUUGAGUCCGAGAGAGGUGAGUGGAACUCCGAGUGUAGAGGUGAAAUUCGUAGAUAUUCGGAAGAACACCAGUGGCGAAGGCGGCUCACUGGCUCGGUACUGACGCUGAGGUGCGAAAAGCGUGGGAGCAAACAGGAUUAGAUACCCGUGUAGUCC
rnacentral:rRNA from 1 species